UCGUGGAGCUUCGGCUCCUUCGAGGGAGAACCCUUGCCUUUUCGAGCACCUGUUUGUUUCCUCGGCAGGCCCGCCUGCCAAUGGGGACCCCUUAAACUCUUGCAAUAACCUGUACAAAAUCGUCUGAAACAAAAAACAAAUCUAAAUCA
rnacentral:misc_RNA from 1 species